rnacentral:rRNA from 1 species
CCUACGGGUGGCAGCAGUGAGGAAUAUUGGUCAAUGGGCGGGAGCCUGAACCAGCCAAGUCGCGUGAAGGAAGAAGGUACUUAGUAUUGUAAACUUCUUUUGUCGGGGAACAAAGGCGGAGACGCGUCUCCGGAUGAGUGUACCCGAAGAAAAAGCAUCGGCUACCUCCGUUCCAGCAGCCGCGGUAAUACGGAGGAUGCGAGCGUUAUCCGGAUUUGUUGGGGUUAAAGGGUGCGCAGGCGGGAGAUCAAGUCAGCGGUAAAAUGUCGGGGCUCAACCCCGGCCGGCCGUUGAAACUGGUUGUCUUGAGUGUGGGAGAGGGAUGCGGAAUGCGUGGUGUAGCGGUGAAAUGCAUAGAUAUCACGAAGAACUCCGAUUGCGAAGGCAGCAUACCGGCUCCAUACUGACGCUGAGGCACGAAAGCGUGGGGAUCGAACAGGAUUAGAUACCCGUGUAGUC